UACAGAGGUCUCAAGCGUUGUUCGGAUUCAUUGGGCGUAAAGGGUGCGUAGGCGGCUCCGUAAGUCAGGUGUGAAAUCUCGGGGCUCAACCCCGAAACUGCACUUGAUACUGCGGUGCUCGAGUACUGGAGAGGAGAUUGGAAUUUACGGUGUAGCAGUGAAAUGCGUAGAUAUCGUAAGGAAGACCAGUGGCGAAGGCGAAUCUCUGGACAGUUACUGACACUGAGGCACGAAGGCCAGGGGAGCAAACGGG
rnacentral:rRNA from 1 species